rnacentral:rRNA from 1 species
AGGUGGUGCAUGGUUGUCGUCAGCUCGUGUCGUGAGAUGUUGGGUUAAGUCCCGCAACGAGCGCAACCCUAUUGCUAGUUACCAUCAUUAAGUUGGGGACGUCUAGCGAGACUGCCAGUGAUAAACUGGAGGAAGGUGGGGAUGACGUCAAAUCAUCAUGCCCCUUAUGACCUGGGCUACAAACGUGAUACAAUGGCUGGAACAAAGGGAUGCGAAGCAGUGAUGUGGAGCGAAACCCAUAAAAACAGUCUCAGUUCGGAUUGAAGUCUGCAACUCGACUUCAUGAAGUCGGAAUCGCUAGUAAUCGCGGAUCAGAACGCCGCGGUGAAUACGUUCUCGGGGUUU